rnacentral:rRNA from 1 species
UAGGGAAUCUUCCGCAAUGGGCGAAAGCCUGACGGAGCAACGCCGCGUGAGUGAUGAAGGUCUUCGGAUCGUAAAACUCUGUUAUUAGGGAAGAACAAAUGUGUAAGUAACUAUGCACGUCUUGACGGUACCUAAUCAGAAAGCCACGGCUAACUACGUGCCAGCAGCCGCGGUAAUACGUAGGUGGCAAGCGUUAUCCGGAAUUAUUGGGCUUAAAGCGCGCGUAGGCGGUUUUUUAAGUCUGAUGUGAAAGCCCACGGCUCAACCGUGGAGGGUCAUUGGAAACUGGAAAACUUGAGUGCAGAAGAGGAAAGUGGAAUUCCAUGUGUAGCGGUGAAAUGCGCAGAGAUAUGGAGGAACACCAGUGGCGAAGGCGACUUUCUGGUCUGUAACUGACGCUGAUGUGCGAAAGCGUGGGGAUCAAACAGG